GGCGUUGUAUUAGCUAGUUGGUGAGGUAACGGCUCACCAAGGCGACGAUACAUAGGGGGACUGAGAGGUCAGCCCCCCCACAUUGGUACUGAGACACGGACCAGACUCCUACGGAAGGCAGCAG
rnacentral:rRNA from 1 species